GUAGGGAAUCUUGGACAAUGGGCGCAAGCCUGAUCCAGCCAUGCCGCGUGGAUGAUGAAGGCCUUCGGGUCGUAAAAUCCUUUUCUGAGAGAAGAACUGUCCGGGGAGGAAAUGCCCCGGGCCUGACGGUACCUCAGGAAUAAGCAACGGCUAACUCCGUGCCAGCAGCCGCGGUAAUACGGAGGUUGCAAGCGUUGUUCGGAUUUACUGGGCGUAAAGGGGGCGCAGGCGGCCGGGUCUGUCUGGGGUGAAAUCCCGGAGCUUAACUCCGGAAUGGCCUUGGAUACUGCCCGGCUUGAGUACGGGAGAGGAGAGCGGAAUUCCAGGUGUAGCGGUGAAAUGCGUAGAUAUCUGGAGGAACACCGGUGGCGAAAGCGGCUCUCUGGCCCGAGACUGACGCUGAGGCCCGAAAGCGUGGGGAGCAAACGGGAUUAGAAACCCGAGUAGUCC
rnacentral:rRNA from 1 species